GCCUAUGGCCAUACUACCCUGAGACCAGAACCUAAGCAGGUUCAGGCCUGGCCUGUACUUGUAUGGGAGACAGCCUGGAAACACCGGAUGCUGUUGGCG
ensembl:rRNA 5S_rRNA 5S ribosomal RNA